rnacentral:rRNA from 1 species
UACGGAGGGUGCAAGCGUUAAUCGGAAUUACUGGGCGUAAAGCGCACGCAGGUGGCUGAGAAAGUCGAUUGUGAAAGCCCUGGGCUUAACCUGGGAAUUGCAGUCGAAACUACUCGGCUAGAGUAUGGGAGAGGACAGUGGAAUUCCCGGUGUAGCGGUGAAAUGCGUAGAUAUCGGGAAGAACACCAGUGGCGAAGGCGGCACUCUGGGACGGUACUGACACUGAGACGCGAAAGCGUGGGGAGCGAACAGG